GGGGCUGCUGAGGAUUGAGGGCCGUGUCAAGCUUGAGCUCUUUCGUCAGUGCUAGAAAUGGACGUUUAGUUAUCGAAGCCUGCUGACGAGGGAAGCCAACAAGAGAGGGAUGUCGGCAUCGGGUAUGCGGUUCCAAGAACUGAUUGGCUAUGGAGACUGGAAGAACUUUUGCAACGGAAACCGGCCCCGGGCAUGCGCCUUUUGAGCCGAGGAGCAAAAGGGCCAGAGCGUCUCAUCCCUGGGCCUGGAGCCCCAGGCUCGCUCUCCUCAGCCCGCGCUGGCAGCGGCGCUCUUGCCGCCAUUCCUGUGAGGUAGUGUUCCGGAGCCGCCGGGCUGGCGGAGGAGUAAGUAGGCGCCAGAGUCCUGGCCCGGGCAUCCUCCUCGGGGCCCUGUCGCCGCCGCGCCCCGGAUCCUGCGUUGAUCCUGUCCGAUAAAGCGGAGGUCGGCCCUGCUUGCUGACGCGACCGUGAAAACCACAGCGCCUGGCGCCCGGCCGCCGCCGCCACGCCACACACAAGUGUACCGGCCCGAGGCAGGCUUCGGGCGCGAGCUUGCCUUUGUGACUUUCCCUUACCGUCUUUGCUUGCUUCCUUUUAAGUAUUACUUCCAGAUAAGGGACAUAUUCUCGAAAUACUUUGAAAAUAAUUUUGAGUUUUGUUUCUCCCGUUGAGACUGAUUACAUUUGGACCUUUCAAGCUACACUGUGCAAUCAUCAAUCUCAAUAAGCUCGUAAUAGGCUCAUUCUUCCGUAGGCUACAAGCAAAAUAAUAGAUCAUAACAUCCUGCGGAGGAAGCCGUUGGUCCGUGUAGAGUCGCCAGAUGUCAAUUAAGAGUAGAUCGCUUUUCAGAGAAUACUUACGGCUCUGGUUUAGACCUGGACUUGGAACUUUGAGGUGUUUGGAACACUGGGCAGAAUUUUCCUUUGUUAUAAAACAAACUUUAUGAGAACGUA